rnacentral:rRNA from 1 species
GACGAACGCUGGCGGCGUGCUUAACACAUGCAAGUCGAACGGAAAGGCCCUGCUUUUGUGGGGUGCCCGAGUGGCGAACGGGUGAGUAACCCGUGAGUAACCUUCCCUUGACUUUGGGAUAACUUCAGGAAACCGGGGCUAAUACCGGAUAGGAGCUCCUGCUGCAUGGUGGGGGUUGGAAAGUUUCGGCGGUUGGGGAUGGACUCGCGGCUUAUCAGCUUGUUGGUGGGGUAGUGGCUUACCAAGGCUUUGACGGGUAGCCGGCCUGAGAGGGUGACCGGCCACAUUGGGACUGAGAUACGGCCCAGACUCCUACGGGAGGCAGCGGUGGGGAAUAUUGCACAGUGGGCGGAAGCCUGAUGCAGCAACGCCGCGUGCGGGAUGACGGCCUUCGGGUUGUAAACCGCUUUCGCCUGUGACGAAGCGUGAGUGACGGUAAUGGGUAAAGAAGCACCGGCUAACUACGUG